ensembl:lncRNA
GUGGUAAUCCCAGCACUUGGGAGACUGAAGCAGGAGGACUGUUGAGAAUUUGAGGCCAAUCUAGGCUACAUAGUGAGUUCAAGGCCAGCCAGAACUACACAGCAAGACUCUGUCUCAAAAACUCAAAACCAAAAAAAAAAAAGAAAAAAAAGAAAAGAAAACCAGAAAAAGGUAUGAGCACUCAGUCUGAGGCAUGGUUUUGUUGUGAUGUGCUGACUUUGCCAGAGGGCCAAAUCAGAGGGACUGCCUGAUUUUGAACUUGGACCUCCAGAACACCCUUGGUGGGAUGUUUCCUUUGAAGUCUCCCACCUCACUGCCUCCCAGGAUGAACAUGACCUAAGCCAGCCUAUACUCUGUCAAGGCCAGAGCAAGGCCACACUCCACAGCCCAUGACCGAGGCAGGGAGGAGUCAAGGCCACAUGACAGAUUUUCCUUUGUGCAAAGUCUGCUGGCCUUUUGGGGACCGAUCCUUGACGUCAUCAGCACCAGCAAGUGUGGCCAAGUGGACCUACCCACUCAGACCAUAGCGACCAUGACAUAACCACUGACAUUUCACAACUUUUUGAACGCUCCAGGAAGCUGGCAAGGUUUGCAAUGGACUUCUUUUGCCCAUGGCUUGUCAUUGCAGCCUUCAUCAGACAUAAACAAGUAUUUACUGAAGGAGGAUGCUAAGGAAGACCUGUGUCAAGGCCCAAUAGAGGGACUGACAUGAUCAAGCCAGGGUCACUCUGGGUCCUGUUUUGUACUCUUAUGUACACGAGGACAACUACCACCACUUCAGGACCAAGUGAAUGCACUGCAGCAGUUUGCUUCCUGUACCAUGGACCAAGCAUGUGGGAUCCUCACCACCUUUUUUCCUGAGUCACAGAGAGGCCACACAGAAGAGUUCUCCUAACUUCUUAAUUUCAAU